AAUUCUCAACUAUUUUAUGUGCCCGUUUGUUGAAAUACCCUACGUUAGUCCAUUUUUUAGAAAUCGACCCGCGAUGACGAGGUAUAUCGCUUUACCUGACAGCGUGAGGUUUAAGAAGUUCAUUUCUAAUUUUGUCUUGUGGCAUAUUAGAAAUGAUGUUUCUUUGAAAAUCGUUCGCUUACAACGGAUAAAACGACUUCUGAGUGGU